GGGGCGGUAGCUCAGCCGGUCAGAGCAGUGGACUCAUAAUCCAUCGGUCGCCAGUUCAAGUCUGGUCCGCCCCAC
rnacentral:tRNA from 1 species